GAAGUUUGACUGUUGAAGGAUAACGUGGGAUUUUCUGAAACUGAAUAGUUCUGCACUGAAUUGGAAAUGUUACAUCCCCAAGCCCAGAUAUUGCUCUGAUCCAAGAGGGGUGCUCAGAGGAGGGAAGAAAUCUUAAUGAGAUUUAGUGCCUAGUCUGGCUUUGCAGCUGCUUCUGUUUCGGCUUUAUGAGGUGACAAGCCAAACUGUCCAACAAAACAUGACUGAGUUGUCACUUCUGCCCAUGGCAGAUGCCUGAAAAGGUCAGACAAUUGCCUCCAGUUAGCACAUUGAUUUCUCGUGUUUCAUUGAAGUUACCUAUUUUUGUCACGAAAACAUUCAUAAUCAGAUGGAGAAGAACAUGAGUCCUUCUUACUGGAGUGUUGGUAGAUGCUGGAGCGUGUCCAGAGAAGGGCAAUGAAGUUGGUGAAGGGUCUGGAGCACAAGAUGUAUGAGGAGAGGCUGUAGUAGGCAGCUUAUAACUGAUCAAAAUUAUAAAGGAGGCUCAGGGCAGACCUUAUUUGUCUUUACAACUACUGAAAGGAUGUGGUAGCCAGGUGGGUGUUGGUCUCUUCUCCCAAGAAACAAGUGACAGGAUGAGAGGAAACAGCCUCAAGUUGUGCCAGGAGAGGUUUAGAUGGGAUAUUAGGGAAAAUUUUACACUGAAAGGGUUCUCAAGCAUUGGAUCAGGCUGCACAAGCCAGAACAUGCUAGAAGUCUUUUGAUUUCUGCUGUCACCAUUGCUGUCAUUAAGAAAACUCCACAGCCUGAGUUAGGGCAAUAUUUUUAAUUGCUUUUUCCAUUUAAGAAGUGGAAAACUGCUUAAAGGAAAAAGGAAUGGCAAUGUUUCCUCCCCUCUAGCUACAGUACUCUUCUAUGACUCAAAAUCUGUCUCUGCAAUUACCCAAUGCAGAUUAAUUUCUCCUCUCUAUCCCCAUAUCUCUAUCUUAACAGUGGGAUAAUAACCCCUUUUUUUUGUGGCAUUUUUUGUUUGUUUUUAUCAUAGGAUACCAUAUAUGUCUACAUUUAUACAUCACUUCCAGAUUAGUUAAAUAAUGUUAUUAGGAAAAAUGACCAAAGGGAAAAAAAAAAGAAACCAAAACAAAAAACCUGGAAAACUUUACUCUGAACAUUGAAGGAAAAAAGUAGUGGAGGAAAUGGCUCAGAGAAGGAGGGGGUUUCAAGCAGAAGACAAUUGAUGGGAGAGAUGGCUGCUUUGCAUGAACUUGAAGAAUUUUGGUUGAUUAUCUAGUUUCUCUUAAGACCCUGAUUUAAACUGUUGCUGUUCAUAUUCUGUCACGAAGAAGCUGAAUUAAGUAGGGCUCAAAUACUUCUUGCCCCCUCCUCUAACAGCUGCUGUUAGACAUGAAAAGUUUUAGCUCAACUGUAGCAUUGCUAAGAAAAAUGUGACCUCUGAGCUGGAAGCGCGGUGCUUUUGAAGGGAAUGUUCUGUAACAUGGAAAGAUACAUUCUUUUUAUAUUUUGCUGCUUAAAUGGUAAUCUGAAAUAGUAUGGAACUGUGCAGAUUUACAAUGAGCCUGAAGUCUUAAAGUCUUGUCUACUUGUAAGGCUUCAAGUCAGCAUAUUACCAGAUUCGAUCUGUUAUGGUUAAAUUGCAUUGUGCUAUUUGAAGGUGUAUUGGCUUUUGGGAAUGGGUUUUGUGUUUGGC